AGAGUAUGAGGCUCACCUGAGCCCCUCUCCAUGGACCCUCCAGGCUGGCAGGGGAGCCUGGAAGCUACUGGAGGAUGUGCUUCAGCAAAACGGAGAAUUAAACUGAGAAAGAGGACAAUGUGGGAUUCAAGAAAUGAGGCUAAACACAGGAGAGGGAUGAUGAGAAAGGCCUGGGAUGCCAGCUGUGCUCCCAGGUGAUGAAAGCAAGUAACCCAGCCUGGAAUCAAAAGAUAGAUGCUCCAGCAGGGAUGUCUCCAGAAGAAAAUGAGGUUGAUUAUCUGCUGUUUUUAGACAUAUUCAAAAUAAAUGUUAAGUUCUGUUGGA